GUUGAAAAGAAUAUCGGGAAGGAACCCGAGGAACCGAGUCGAGGCUAAGGGACGACUCGCUUGAGAUAAGAGCAAGGAAAAAGCAGCAGAGUGAGCUGCUACUGAGUUGAAGAUCACAUCAAGCUUUUGUACGGGUAUUAUUUUAUACCCUUGUAGAUAAUUUUGAUGUAAAUAUGGAAAUGUUGUAUGUAUCAAUGUAGUUGAGCAGUUGUAAAUAAAUUGUAAUAAUAUUUUUUGGA